UGCACACAUUUGAGGCAGAGCAGCAGCGACGCUUACGCUCCAGCGACAGCGAGAACGACAGAAUCCGCAGCUUUACAAUCCAAAGUAGCAGUUGCGCCUCAGAUCUAAAGCACUCAAACACGGUUGAUAUACUAUGCUUGGGCAGCAGCGGUGAGGCACAGUGACCAACGGCAUGAACAAAUACGGCGACCCAUUGAAACGAAGUAAAAAUACGGUCGAAUGAGUUGAUUGAGCUGCACGGAGGCAAAAAGUAAAGCUAAUUGGAAAUGUCGCAAUUUUUUGCACAUGUGAAUUUCAUCUGGAAGGGAGUUGAGCAGCUGAGAGAGAAAUUGGUGGAUGAAAGUGUGCCAAAAGUAUAUUGGGAGUGGAUUCGAUUAGGCAGUGUUAUAUACAUACAUAUGUAUACGCACCAGGGAAAGAUUAAUGGAUAAUAUUACUAUACGAAAAUGGAUAUAAUUUCUAUUUGGAAUAAUUAAAAAUUUACAAGUAUUUAGGUGCUACCAGGGCAAAUACAAUAACCACACUUAUCGUAUAUACCUUUAUAGCAAGUUAAGUAUAUUCGUAUUUACACAUGUACAUACAUAUAUAGCUCGGGUCUUAGUUCACAUUACUCUUCUUAAUUUCCGUUCUUUGAAUACCUCAUGACAUGACAAUAACACUCAUAAAAUCCGGGGUGCAGAUCAGGAAACCAAAUAAAUAAACCGCAAUUUCACACUCAACAGCCGCAGCAACGUUUUGGUGCUAUCGUUAUACCCGGCCUUUUGCUGCGCAGCUAUAGUCAGCGUUGCUUUUGAAUGUGCUCGGAGAUACGACGUUCGUUGCCUCAUUCACUCGCUUUAAUUCUGAGGCUUCUUAUAUCGCUGUAUGCUUCUUCUAUUUCACUCUGUCUGUCGGGUGUUAACAUUGACGUCUGCGGCUUGCCGGCAGGAGUACUCAAUAAUAUCUGAAUGAGCGCUCGUGAUGUAUAUUCGUGUUGAACAAGUGAUAAGUACAUUGUUUUCGAGUGAAAUAACAGAAGUAUUAAAUUUUGUGGUUUAUUUUUGAGUAACUUUGCAUGAGACUCAUUUAUAGUCAAGUUAUUGAAAUCCUCUUUAUAUUAUAUUUUCUCCACACAAGUUCCUUACAUUUUAAAAUUGUUCUCUGUUCAGUGUAGAUUCUAAAGACUUUACUACUGUUUCGUUUUGUAUUUACUGAGUGUUCUAUGGCUGCUAAUAUUCUAGUUAAUAGCGUGCAAAUUUCUAAUGAAAGCAGAAACCACUCUCCCAAAAUGAGAUUAUUUGAGUGUUGUUUGUUAGCACAGAUAAAAGAGCUGGAUGAUUGAGACUAUGUGUGUACAUACAAGUGUAUUUUAUGCAUCUGUACAUUUGCACUUUUAUAUUAAAAUGUAUGUACGAAGGUUCAUGAGUGAAUUUGAAAACAGAAAUCAUGAGGAUUCAUUUAUUUUAUCGUCCUGCUUUGGAGAUAACUUCCCAAAUCAUAGACAGUUUUCAUAGAUUCUGAUAUCGUUACAACUUUCCAAUAGAUAAUGAAACCAAAGCUGUCUAGUUAAAUAUAAUAUAUUAAAUAUUGCUUAAACAUGACAUUUUUAAAUACAAAUAUACAUACAGUGGAACUUCCAUAACUCCAAGAUCUCCAAAACUCGAACACUUGAAUUGGCAACAGCGUUUAGAAGCCAAAUUUUGUAAAAAUUUCCUUCCCUAACUCGAAUUUCUAUAACGCGAACUCUUGAAGAGUCAAUAGGGUGCAACUUUCAUACAAAUUUCCUUCCAUAAAUAGAACUUUUUGGUCAGAGCAUAAUACAAAAUUUAAAAUUUUACUAUCAAGGCAGAAUUUUAAAAGAGUCCGUCUAUAUUGAACAGAAUACAUGUUUUAACGUCUAUUGGUCACUUCUCUACUUCCUUGUCAAAAAUUUGACAUGUGAAAGCAACAACAAAGUUAUCUAGUUGAAUUCGUGCAAGAGUGUAUGCGGAUACUGCAUUAAAAAUUCUAUCGCCGCUUGCUGAGUGCUACCAAUUUUUGUUUAGGCUAUUCACAAUAGUAAAAAUGGCUCGAAGGAUCAAAAAGGACAAUACAAAUAUAUUUUUUUAAUAUUUUUAACUUGAUAUAUAUUAUAAUUGAUUAAAUAAAACGUAUGGCAUGGAAAUGAAAUGGUAAAAAACAUUUUUUUGCCUUUUUUUAGCAAAGAAAAUUGUGCAACACUAUUGAGCAUAAUUAAGAUUUUUUUUUUAAUUUUUGGAUAGUGCAUUCUAUUGACUUCUCUAUAACGCUUAGCCAAUCGAUGACAGCUACUAUUGCAGUACAUUGCGUUUAACAUACUCACAUU